UUUGGUAAGGCGCGUCCUGUCAGAAGUGAGAAAGGCAAUAAAUAAAAGGCGCCGCGAAAGGCGGUCAAAGGGGUCAUUAAAUGUUCGUACAAAAAUAGCCAGUACUUUUACAGGCUACCCAGAAGGGCAUCGAUAGCCGAAAUCGCUCGGCGCCGGAUCUGAUCGGCAGAGUCUAGGACCCGCUGAUCAUCAUCUGCCGAUCCAGGGACUUCUGGCAUAUUGCGGUGGAGUUUAAGGGCUUCGUGGGCCAGAUGCUGCCUCUCCCGUUU
rnacentral:lncRNA from 1 species